rnacentral:rRNA from 1 species
UGGGCGCAAGCCUGAUCCAGCCAUGCCGCGUGAGUGAUGAAGGCCCUAGGGUUGUAAAGCUCUUUCUUUAGAUAAGAUAAUGACGGUAGCCGGAGAAGAAGCCCCGGCUAACUCCGUGCCAGCAGCCGCGGUAAUACGGAGGGGGCUAGCGUUGUUCGGAAUUACUGGGCGUAAAGCGCACGUAGGCGGGUAUCCAAGUUGGGGGUGAAAUCCCGGGGCUCAACCCCGGAACUGCCUCCAAAACUGGGUACCUAGAGUCCGAGAGAGGUGAGUGGAAUUCCCAGUGUAGAGGUGAAAUUCGUAGAUAUUGGGAAGAACACCAGUGGCGAAGGCGGCUCACUGGCUCGGUACUGACGCUGAGGUGCGACAGCGUGGGGAGCAAACAGGAUUAGAUACCCUGGUAGUCCACGCCGUAAACGAUGAUAGCUAGUUGUCGGGCAGCAUGCUGUUCGGUGACGCAGCUAACGCAUUAAGCUCUCCGCCUGG